rnacentral:rRNA from 1 species
GCCCUAGUAACGGCGAGUGAAGCGGCAACAGCUCAAAUUUGAAAUCUGGCCUUCUGGUCCGAAUUGUAAUUUGUAGAGGAUGCUUUUGGUGCGGUGCCUUCCGAGUUCCCUGGAACGGGACGCCUUAGAGGGUGAGAGCCCCGUACGGUUGGACGCCUAGCCUCUGUAAAGCUCCUUCGACGAGUCGAGUAGUUUGGGAAUGCUGCUCUAAAUGGGAGGUAAAUUUCUUCUAAAGCUAAAUACCGGCCAGAGACCGAUAGCGCACAAGUAGAGUGAUCGAAAGAUGAAAAGCACUUUGAAAAGAGGGUUAAAUAGCACGUGAAAUUGUUGAAAGGGAAGCGCUUAUGACCAGACUUUCUCUAGGGGGAUCAUCCGGUGUUCUCACCGGUGCACUUCGCCUAGUUUAGGCCAGCGUCGAUUUUCGUAGGGGGAUAAAGACUUCAGGAACGUGACUCCCUCCGGGGAGUGUUAUAGCCUGUCGUGUAAUACCCUUACGGGGAUCGAGGUUCGCGCUCUGCAAGGACGCUGGCAUAAUGGUCAUCAGUGACCCGUCUUGAAACACGGACCAAGGAGUCGAACAUUUGUGCGAGUGUUUGGGUGUUAAACCCUCACGCGUAAUGAAAGUGAACGGAGGUGAGAGCCCUUUAGGGUGCAUCAUCGACCGAUCCUGAUGUCUUCGGAUGGAUUUGAGUAAGAGCAUAACUGUUCGGACCCGAAAGAUGGUGAACUAUGCGUGGAUAGGGUGAAGCCAGAGGAAACUCUGGUGGAGGCUCGCAGCGGUUCUGACGUGCAAAUCGAUCGUCAAAUCUGCGCAUGGGG